UUAAAAAAAUCAAAUCCCUAAUACUCACAAAUCCACUGUAAGCAUAAUGGAGGAAGAACAGAAAAAGAGAAAGAAAAUCAAAUUAUUAUCAAUGUGGCAAUUGUCUUUCGGAAGAAUCAAUAUUAUCAAUUUUCCCAUCUACCUCCUUUUUCUCCUUCAUCCACCAAAACGUCUUCCUGUCCUUCUACUCAGAGUAAAACUCAUCAGACCAAAGGAGAACAGAAGGGCAUUGAGGGGGGAACCAAACGACUAGUGUACAAGCAGGGCAUCGAAUGGUUUGAGGGAAGCGUUGGGGAAGUUUAAGGAGACAAAUUGAGUACCCGAGGAUUGCGUCGCUGUCGUAGUUUUGUAAGCAAACUGGGCAUUUCGGUAGCUCCAUCAUCACCGACCACCACCACGACCCUCUUUCGUCAUUCAAUUAAAAUUUAGUGAUUCUGAAUUCGGGUUAAUGAAUUCUUUCACUCGCCUCCACAUCCGCCGCUCCUCGCGACUGCGAUCGACCACCAAUGGCUUUUACGGCUUUAAUCCUUGAAACCCUACAAUAUUUCAACGAUGAUGGUUCCAGACUCAAAAUCUCACCAACAGUGGUAUGUGCGACUUCGAUCCUUGAAACUAAAAGGAUUUCACCAACAUAUAAGUAUUAUGUAUAUUGGUGAUUCCCUUUGCCUUUGCCACUGGCAAAAUGAUUAGAGGACUUUUUCAUUUAUUUGAAAAUGCUUUACUAUAUGAGGAUUGUGAUGGUGUUCAUGAUUGUUGAGGUGAUAAU